GUCAUACUCCCUCCGUCCGGAAAUACUUGUCAUCAGAAUGGAUAAAAGGGGAUGUAUCUAGACGUAUUUUAGUUCUAGAUACAUCCUUUUUUGUUCAUUUUGAUGGCAAGUAUUUUUGGACGGAGGGAGUAUUGG
rnacentral:pre_miRNA from 1 species